GCUGGGCGUGGUGGUGCGUGCCUGUAAUCCCAGCUACUCGGGAGGCUGAGGCAGGAGAAUCACUUGAACCCGGGAAGUGGAGGCUGCAGUGAGCUGAGAUGGCGCCACUGCAGUCCAGCCUGGGCAACAGAGUGAGACUCCGUCUCAA
rnacentral:sRNA from 1 species